AGGUAUGACAUUGAAACUUUUUAAAGAAGAGGUAUGAAACUGUUAAUGACUCAAUAAUUAAGGUAAUUUUAUGUAAUUUACCCUCAUUUAUUCAAGUAAGGUUGAGACCGUUCUUAACACAUGGACUACUCUAUAAGUUAGAACAAAUCUGAGUUAGUCAUGGUUCCCUUUGGUUAUCCACACUGUAAACUUAACUGUACCUACAAGAUUAACAAGUAAGUGUUGUAUGUUAAAUUGUUUUACCAAAAAUUUCAUACUUCCAAAACACUCUUAAUAGACACCAAAGUUAUAUUACAUCUUGGUUCUUUUGGGUAUUGAUUCAUCUUUAAUCAUAAGGUGUCUUCUUCUUUGGACUUGUAAAUGAUGUUACAGAUUCAAUUAAAAAUCUCCUAAUUAACUUUAAGUUUAGGUUUAUGUAUCCAACACCCAUAUGGACCCACACACAAAUAAUAGUAAAUAGAUAGAUAUAAUUGAUGUGUAUAUCUAUCUUGUCUUGUAGGAAUUAUAAAAAAUCUUAAUUGCACAUAAUAUGGGAAUGGUGGAUUUGGAUCCUCUCCGAGGCAACUGGUCGAGAUCCUCCUUAUCAGUGUUCGUGGACCGUUUAAUUUUUAUCCAACGGCUACAAACAGGGGGCCCUCUAAAAGUUAUAACAAUUGUAGCCGUUGGAUAAAAAUCCAACGGUCCACGAACACUGGUCAGAAAGAUCCCGACCAAUUGCUUCGGAGAGGAUCCAAAUCUGGUAAUGGUAUCGUCCAAAUUAAUAUUUAUCCAAGCAUGGUCACAUCAGUUUGAAACAAUUAAAUAACUUUUAUUCAAACAAAUAAAGUAAAGGGUAAAUUACAUAAUACCCCUCAUGUUUAAGGUCUAUUACAUUCUCAUACAACAUCUUUAAAACAUUUCACUUUCAUACCUCACCUACUAUUUUAUUUCCAUAUAGUACAUUUGUUACAUUUUCCAUCCAUUGAUCCGUUAA
rnacentral:lncRNA from 1 species